GGGCUCAGGAAACCUUCCGCCCAGGUUUUCACGCACCUCAAAGAAUUCGUGAUCCCGCGGGAAGUGCACGGGGCGCGGUGUGAACCGGAAGGGCGCUGCCCCAGCUGCAGGGUUCCGCUCCACCGGCAGCGGUUCGGCCGCCCCGGGCGCCCCGGCUAGGCGGGAAUAUAGCGAAGGGGGAAGCAACAUCUCCACAGUUGCCGCAGCCCUUCGGCCACCGUCGGCGGGGUGGGAACGGACGUGACGUUUAUUAAUUUCCUGUGGCGACCCUGCGGGGCGGAACGCGGCGCGGGGAGGAGACUAUUGCUAUGUUGGUGUCUCGGAUAAACUAUGAGUGAAUUUCGGAUUCACCGUGAUGUCAAUGAGCUGCUCAGUCUGCUGCGCAUCCAUGGUGGGGGCGGGGCUGAGGUCUACAUUGACCUGCUGCAGAAGAACCGGACACCAUAUGUUACAACCACAGUCUCUGCCCACAGUGCUAAGGUUAAAAUUGCAGAAUUUUCUCGUACUCCUGAGGACUUUUUAAAGAAAUAUGAUGAACUGAAGUCUAAAAAUACAAGGAACCUUGACCCGCUGGUGUACCUGUUAUCAAAGCUCACAGAAGACAAAGAGACACUGCAGUAUUUACAACAAAAUGCAAAGGAAAGAGCUGAGCUCGCAGCUAAUGCUGCCACCAGCAGCAGCACCAGCUUCAGCAUUCCUGUUGCAGCCUCUAAGAUGUCCACACAGGAACUAGAAGAGCUGAGGAACCAGUUUGGGGGUGUGGCUACAGGCUCCACACUGCAGCAGUCUCUGGAACUUACAAGAAAGAUGCUUCGAGACAAACAGAACAAAAAAAAUUCAGGCCAGCCCCUUCCGGUCUUCCCAGCAUGGGUAUAUGAAAGGCCAACACUGGCUGGAGAUUUCCUGAUUGGUUCGAGCUUAAGCUCAGACACGGCUUUGCCUAUAGGUACACUGCCCUUGGCCUCCCAGGAAUCAGCAGUGGUGGAAGAUCUGCUCUAUGUGCUUGUGGGUGUGGAUGGCAGGUACAUCACUGCUCAGCCCUUGGCUGGGAGGCAGAACCGUACCUUCCUUGUGGACCCCAACCUGGACCUCUCCAUCCGGGAGCUGGUAAACAGAAUCCUUCCUGUGGCUGCCAGCUACUCUACAGUAACCAGGUUCAUUGAGGAGAAAUCUUCAUUCGAAUAUGGGCAGGUGAACCAUGCCUUGGCUGCUGCUAUGAGGACCCUGGUAAAGGAAUACUUGAUCCUGGUCACACAACUGGAACAGCUGCACAGGCAGGGCCUCCUGUCGCUGCAGAAGCUCUGGUUCUACAUCCAGCCAGCCAUGCGGACCAUCGACAUCCUUGCCUCUCUUGCCACCUCAGUGGAUAAAGGUGAGUGUGUGGGCGGAUUGACGCUGAGCCUUCUCCAUGAUAGGAGCUUCAACUACACAGGGGACAGCCAGGCGCAAGAGCUGUGCCUCUAUCUGACCAAGGCGGCCAGUGCACCCUACUUUGAGAUCCUGGAGAAGUGGAUCUACAGGGGUAUUAUUCAUGACCCAUACAGUGAGUUCAUGGUGGAGGAACACGAACUGCAGAAGGAGAAGAUCCAGGAGGACUACAAUGACAAGUACUGGGACCAGCGCUAUACUGUGCUGCCACAGCAGAUCCCAUCCUUCCUGCAGAAGGUAGCAGGCAAGAUCCUCAGCACAGGAAAAUAUCUAAAUGUGGUCAGAGAAUGUGGUCAUGACGUCACGUGUCCCGUAGCCAAGGAGAUCAUCUACACACUCAAAGAGCGAGCAUACGUGGAACAGAUUGAGAAGGCAUUCAACUAUGCCAGCAAGGUGCUGCUGGACUUCCUCAUGGAGGAGAAGGAGCUGGUGGCCCACCUGAGGUCCAUCAAACGCUACUUCCUGAUGGACCAGGGGGACUUCUUUGUGCAUUUCAUGGACCUUACUGAGGAGGAGCUCAGGAAGCCGGUAGAGGACAUCACACCCACACGCCUAGAGGCUCUGUUGGAGCUGGCCCUGCGAAUGAGCACUGCUAACACUGACCCCUUCAAAGAUGACCUCAAGAUUGACCUGAUGCCUCAUGACCUCAUCACUCAGCUUUUGCGGGUUCUGGCCAUUGAGACCAAGCAGGAGAAGGCAAUGACUCAUGCUGACCCCACGGAGCUCACACUGAGUGGUCUGGAGGCCUUCUCCUUUGACUACGUUGUCAAGUGGCCCCUGUCACUGAUUAUCAAUAGGAAGGCACUCACCCGCUACCAGAUGCUCUUCCGGCACAUGUUCUACUGCAAACACGUGGAGAGGCAGCUCUGCAGUGUCUGGAUCAGCAACAAGACCGCCAAGCAGUAUGCGCUGCACUCAGCAAAGUGGUUUGCUGGUGCUUUCACUUUGCGGCAGCGAAUGCUCAACUUUGUCCAGAAUAUUCAGUACUACAUGAUGUUUGAAGUGAUGGAACCAACCUGGCACAUCCUUGAGAAAAACCUGAAAUCUGCUUCCAACAUUGACGACGUGCUUGGCCACCACACAAGUUUCCUUGACAACUGCCUGAAGGAGUGCAUGCUGACCAACCCUGAGCUGUUGAAGGUUUUCUCCAAGCUUAUGUCUGUGUGUGUCAUGUUCACCAACUGUAUGCAGAAAUUUACACAGAGCAUGAAGCUGGACAGUGAGCUGGGCCGGCUGACACUAGAGCAGGGUAGUGCACAGGGGCCACCCACAGAGACUGAGCGAACUGAGGAGCGCCCCCGCAAGGAGCCUACCAGGAAGCACCUGUCCGAGCAUAUGGAUACUCCUCAGCUGGCCUCUGGGUUCGAGGCCACCAUCAAUAACUUUGACAAAAACUUUUCUGCCCAUCUUCUUGAUUUGCUGGACCGACUAAGUGUGUACAGCACCAGUAACUAUGAACAUGGCAUGGCCAGCGUCAUCUCCAGGCUGGAUUUCAAUGGUUUCUAUGCCGAACGCCUGGAACGUCUGUCUGCAGAGAGGAGUCAGAAGGCUGCCCCCCAAGUGCCCAUCCCAAGGGGGCCCCCAGCAUCAACACCCAGGGUGGCCAUCCCUGCACAAUGAGCUCCCUUUUUAAAUAUCAUCUUUCUGAACGUGGGCGUUGUGUGUUAUUAUUGUUUAAGUGUGGUUUGAGAUUCCAUCUUGGCUCAAUGAGUUCCUUUUUCAAGGUGCUAGAUUUCCUUUUAGAAGCUUUCCAGAGGUCUGGAGAGAUAGCUUAGUCAGUACGUGCUUUCUGUGCAAGUGUUAGGACCUGAGUUCAGAUCCUUACCAUCUUUCUUAGUUAGGGCUUUCGUUGCUAUGAUGAAACACCAUAAGCAAAAGCAACUCGAAGAGGGUAGGGUUUGUCUCAUCUUACAGCUUGUAAUCUAGUCUGUCAUCCAGGACAAUCAGGGCAGGAACCGAUACAGAGGCCAUGGAGGAGGGCUGCUUACUGGCUUUCUCCCAUGGCUUUCUCUACCUUGCUUUUUUUUAAUCACACCCAGGGCCUGCUCAGAGGCAACACUGUCCACACUGAGCUGGCCCUUCCUGUUUCAAGCAUCAAUCAAGGAAUUGCACCACAGAACAGCCUUGGAGCAUUUUCUCAGUUUAGGUUCCCUCUUCUAAAAUGACUCUAUCUUAUUUGAAAUUGAUGUAAAUUUCACCCAAUACACCACCUGUAUAAAAAGUUGAGUGUAGUGGAACAUUCUAUUCCCAGUGCUGGGGCAGGGAGAAAGGGUUCCUAGGGCUUACUGACCAGCCAGUCUAGCUAAAUCAUGAGAUCAAGAGACUUGUCUCUAAAUUAAUUAAUUAAUUAAAAUUAAAAAUAGGAUGGAUAGUAAUAGAGGAAGUAACUGGUAUCAGUCUCUCGCUUCUAUGCGUGCACGCAAACACACACAAAUAUGUACAUGUACUUGCAAAAGGAAUAAAAACGGAAGCUGACUGUACCAGAGUAAGGUUUCCUCCAGCUUAACUGUGUUUGCCUUCAAAGUCCAGUGUGUGUGUGUGUGUGUGUGUGUGUGUGUGUGUGUGUGUGUCGGGGGGUGCUUUUAGCCUCAGACAAUAAAAGCAUGUUUGUGCAAGGAGCAAUAUAAUUAGAAAAUACCAGGCAAGGGAGGUGUAGCCUGGGGGUUGGGACUGUUCUCUACAUGUUUUGGAUCUGCCUUUAUGGACGCUAGGGGGCAGCAUUAUCCCUGACUGAAGGUGUUCUCACUUUGCCAGUGUGUGCCCAACUCUUCACCCAGAACCCUUAAGGUGUACUUUCUGAGAUGUGUCCUUGGAGACAGACUAAGCUUUAAGCUGGACGCUACUCCUGCCCAUCAGGGUCUGGAUGCACUUUAUCCAUUAGAUGCAGGCCUUUCCUUUUGAAAAUUAUUCAGCAAAGUAUCUAACAAGUUGUACUGUGGCCGCCUCACCUCAAUGGCUUUUUGUUUCAGUCCUGGAGUGGACAGUUUAAACAUCUGCCCCAGGUGAGCUUGGGGAAUGAGGAAGUGUUUGGAGGAGUGAGAACUGGAGGCAAAUCUCUUGAUUCUGCAGAUGGUAAGACUGUGGAUGACCCAGUCAGGACUGGCUAGCUAAACAGAGCCCCCCUGGAGUGCCUUUAUUUUGUUUUGUUUCUUCUGAUCUGCAGCAUGUGCAGGCUUGCCUGAGUAAACGUACAUUGGCCAAGCCAGUGUUGUCAGAAUAAAUGCCAGACUAAGCAGAGCUUAGUGGUCUGUUUUUCCAGGAGUCCAGACACCCGUGUCUCUGGUCUUGGAUCUGCAGCUCCCAGGUUUGUGUGGGACCCAACUACAAACCUUCAGAGCAAUAAGAUGAGUCUGUCUUAUGUGGUGGAGUGAGUACCCAUCAUUUCCAAUGUAUUUCUGCCAGGGCAGGACAAAAUUGGCCCCACCUGGUUCUGGCUUUUGAUUUUACCCUGUUCCGUUGCCUUCACUAUAGAUGGUUGGACUUACAAGACAGUGGAACAUACAUACUGGCAACAGCUUUCGAUUGUGCCUCCUAUUUGACUAAGGAAAAAUUGCUUUGAACCUUCGCUGUCACUAAGGUCCUGUGUAUGUGGAAGUCAGCCUUGCCAAAGAGCUCUGCCUGCUGCUUUCUGCAGCCUGGUGUCUGUUCUAGCCCUAAGCACUGUGGGCUGAUACCUCUGGCAGCGCAGCAGGUUGCUGUAACAGACCCACCUGGAGAAGCUGAGAACUAGGCCAUAUAGGGGUGCUGAGACCUCUGGUUCUGGGACAGCACUACUUUUGGGACACG